rnacentral:lncRNA from 1 species
UUGUCUCCCAAUGUUGUAACUUAAUGAUAGUAAGUCAUGUGGAUUCAGCAUCUUCAAGAAUGAAUUUGUAACUAGGAUCUAGAUCAUCAACCAAAGAAGCGGAUAUGUAUUUACCAAAAUUUAUCAAAGUUACCUGGUAGAUAAGAACGUCUUAUUGGCUGUGAUCAUCACAAACUUCGCUUAGCUAUAAACAAGGUGAAGAUUGCUAGAAAGAAAGACUUGAGAGUCCACCGUUUAAGCCAAAGGCUUUUGAUAAUAUACUUCUCCGCCUCUUUCCAAUUUCCGCGGCAGGUAUGACUCUCCUUAGUGACAUCCAUUGCUGCUGGUUUGGAGAAGAUUGAGUGAGAAUGAUCCACCAUUGAGUUUGAUAACUAGGAUUGUUGUUUGUAAAAUUCUAAACAUAAGUGAACAUGUCGAACAAGUAAUAUAAUGAUAAGAAAGAAUAUCGUCCCACGGAGAUCGUCCUGCUUGGGAGGAGACCCUUCAUUUCCCUGUAGCACGUCCCUGUGUUUCAAGGGGGAAGGCGUCGCGGGGAUCCAGGCGGGGUUACCCUGGGAAACCCUUUACAGGGUUUCCCUUGUGGCCGGGUCCCCAUGGGGGUUCCAUUUUUAUCGAGGGGGAACCCCUCCCUCUAUCCUGUCUUUCCAGGAUGUCAAAGCCUUUUAAGAUCUUGCUUAGGACCAGAUCAUCAACCAAAGAAGCGGAUAUGUAUUUACCAAAAUUUAUCAAAGUUACCUGGUAGAUAAGAACGUCUUAUUGGCUGUGAUCAUCACAAACUUCGCUUAGCUAUAAACAGGGUGAAGAUUGCUAGAAAGAAAGACUUGAGAGUCCACCAUUUAAGCCAAAGGCUUUUGAUAAUCGUGGACAAAAUACAUAUACUUCUCCGCCUCUUUCCAAUUUCCGCGGCAGGUAUGACUCUCCUUAGUGACAUCCAUUGCUGCUGGUUUGGAGAAGAUUGAGUGAGAAUGAUCCACCAUUGAGUUUGAUAACUAGGAUUGU